ensembl:miRNA
UGGGCUGACUGUGGUUUCUAACCAGUUGCUGCCAGAUAGAAGUUCACCUUUUCCUAUAGCUUGGGUGGCUUCCAUAUGGUAUGGAGCUGGUUUUUGAGGAUUACCUUUCC